rnacentral:lncRNA from 1 species
CCGCGGCCGAGCGCGCCCCUGCGCUGGGAGGCGGCGGGGUCGCGGGGCUCGCCUCGGCACAGGGCGGGCGCGGCGCAGACGGGGCUUCGGAACCGCUUGCCUCUGUCUGCCUUCGCCUUUUUUAUCCUCAUUUCAAACACCUUUUCCCACAAUCCUUUAUUCAUUCUUUUCAUCAGAAUUACUCCUAUGAUUUUGAAAAUACACAAAAUCUUCGUCUUCAUUUGGCAUAGCAUCCAUCCUUGGUGCCUGGAGGUAGCAAACACUGAUUUACAAGCCACAGAGCUUCUUGUCUUUUUUCCUGUUUUCUUUGCAGAACAGCACAAAACAGAGAAGUCUGGGCUUGUGCUCAAGAAUAUCAGGAAUAUGAGACCCCUUUUCUACCGCCAAGAGUUUGGGAGAAAGAAAUAAAAAAAUUAAUGGGAAUUUCUUAAAGACUAAUAAGGAUGAUGACACUUCCUCCCUAUACAAGUUCAGAGAACUGGUGGAAAGCUGUCAUUUUAUGUAAAUAGCUUGAAAAGAAACAAACAAAUCACCUGUAGACAGAUAUUAAUAGACUAGGGAGGUGUAAAGGCCAUAACUGCACUGCCUCUGUGAGUACUUGGAACCUUCAUUCGUUGUUACCAUGAGGUCACUACUACUAGUUUAGAACAAAUCUUUUCCUCAGACUGUUAGCAAUUCUUAUGAUAAAGUGUUCAGUCAGACCACCGAGGACCUUAAUUUGCUAUACUAUGAGCAGAAAUAACCAGCACAUAAAAAUGGGCAUUAAAAUUAGUUUUUAGUUUCUGUGUUUACUCAGUAUGUGAUAUACAGUUCUACAACCUCACACUCUGCAUUUAUCAUGCUAUUAUUACAUUCAGAUCCCCCAAAACAUGUAUAUACCUUUCUCUUACAGGCUGAAUUGCAUACACUGGGACACCUCAUAAAGUCAUGUAUUUCCUCCCACAUUUCACUUCCAAGCACGGGGGAAAAAAAAUGAGCAUGUUAAAUUUCUAGAAUAAUUCUAGUCUUUGCUUUAACGUAGAGCUUGCACGAUUCCCCCCCCCUCUUUUUUUUCAGUAGGACUAUUUUUAAGAAGAAAUAAUUCUUAAAAAUGUUCAGAAGGGUCGUUUAAUAUCCCUGUUUUUUUCACUUAACAGGAGAAACUUUC